GAGCUAUGUGAAACUUGGAACAUUAUGGGAGUGAGGGGAGCUGGUUUUUAGCUGUGGGACCAAGGGAUCCUACUCCAACAGUCUGGGUCUUAGGAAGGACUGUCAGGGUCAACAGCAACCGAGAAAAGGACAAAAGGAAAACUAGUAGCAACAUCAGAUAAAAAAUGGAGUCUUCAAGGAGGCUCUCAUACCUUCAAAUUUACCAGCUUGGGCUCCAACGUGAACAACCCUGGGAGGACAGCCUGACCCUGUGAUCCUCUGCAGAGCUACCUAAGAUGAGUUAUAAAAUAGGGCAGUAGAGGUUUAUAACCGCACAGAGCCCCGAAUUAAUUUAGUCUUUAACACCUCUGAUCAACUCAAUGAGCGAUAAUCUAAUAUAAUGAAAUCCUUUCUCCUGUUCCCUCUUAACCAGGCCCCUUAACUUCCUCUCAUUCUUGCUCUCAUCUAGAACAAUACAAGACUCAGCAAGGUGCCUGUUUCCCAGCUACUCAC